UCCGGCUUAACGCCGGCAGUCUCCUUAGAGUGCCCAGCCUGACCUGCUGGCAACUAAGGAUGAGGGUUGCGCUCGUUGCGGGACUUAACCCAACAUCUCACGACACGAGCUGACGACAGCCAUGCAGCACCUGUCACCGGUCCAGCCAAGCUGAAGGUAAAGAUCUCUCUAAACCGCGACCGGGAUGUCAAGGGCUGGUAAGGUUCUUCGCGUUGCCUCGAAUUAAACCACAUGCUCCACCGCUUGUGCGGGUCCCCGUCAAUUCCUUUGAGUUUUAGCCUUGCGGCCGUACUCCCCAGGCGGAGUGCUUAACGCGUUAGCUGUGACACUGAAGAACUAAGUCCUCCAACAUCUAGCACUCAUCGUUUACGGCGUGGACUAC
rnacentral:misc_RNA from 1 species